GUAAUCCCAUCCCAGCCAUGCAAUUCCCUGCGGCUCCUCCUCCUACUCCUCCGAAUCUAUCGGCGGCAUCGAAUACGCCAGAAUUGUCGCCGGGCAUCUCACCGACGCUCCCACAGCAGUUGUUCCCGCCUCAGUUCGGCGGCGCCCCACCGUUCGACGACCCACCACAGCCAUAAACUUGUUUAUUUCAAUAUUUAUGGACUUGUGAACUUCUGGAUAUGUAUUUGUGAACUUCUGGAUAUUUUGUGAACUUGCAGGACUUUGCAUUGGACUUCUGUA